AUAUAGUUAGUUGUUCAUAUCUUUCUUAGGUUUGACUUGAAUAAGCAUCACUUUUUGUGCAAAGAAAUUAGUGGUUUACCGAAUACGAUAAUAUGACUAAAUUUGAAUAGAUCGCCUAGUGUGAAGUGCUAACAUACUCGUUAAUCUAUCAUGUUUGUUUAAAAAAUACCAGUUCAGUUUAGAACAGAGGAAAGCUCUAUUUUUGCUUUUAUUUGAACGUUUAUGGGAUAGUAGUCAGAUUUUUCUGUUGCCGCUACUAAUUACUAUCGUUACACAAUGUACAUCCAAGAAAUAUUAGUACCGUUAUAGUUUUGGAAUUUUAGCCGUAGAUCUGUUUCUACGCUAAUCACCAAGUCCAUUCUUUGUUUGAUGUAUUUGGUGAUAAAACUAGUUAGUUCUUAAAAUAAUCUUUAUUGCCGUUGAGUCGAUACUCGCUUGAGUUCCUCAUCAGGGCUUAUGCAUUGUUUUAUACUUGUAGCAUUGUCUAAACUCUUAUUUACAAUUGGCAACAAACUUAUAUAAACGUUGAGACCUUACCAGUGAAAGAAGUGUGGUUUGAGCGAAAUAUUUUCCGAGCCAAUCUAAAAUUUAAAGUGU